UUCGCAAUGCCCGAAAGGGUGUCGAAGCGACGCCGCGUGGGUGAAGAAGGCCUUCGGGUUGUAAAAUCCUGUCAGGAGUUAAGAAAUGUAAGUUUGCGAAUACCAAAUUUACUUGACAAAAGCUCCAAAGGAAGCCACGGCUAACUCUGUGCCAGCAGCCGCGGUAAUACAGAGGUGGCGAGCGUUGUUCGGAAUUAUUGGGCGUAAAGAGCACGUAGGUGGAUUUGUAAGUCAGAUGUGAAAGCCUUCUGUUCAACGGAAGAAUUGCAUCUGAAACUACAAACCUUGAGUAUAGGAGGGGAGAGUGGAACUUCUGGUGGAGCGGUGAAAUGCGUAGAUAUCAGAAGGAACGCCGGCGGCGAAAGCGACUCUCUGGCCUAUUACUGACACUGAGGUGCGAAAGCUAGGGGAGCAAACGGGAUUAGAUACCCCGGUAGUCCUAGCCGUAAACGAUGGGCACUAAGUAGAGGGGUUUU
rnacentral:rRNA from 1 species